rnacentral:sRNA from 1 species
AGUGAGCGUCAUCCAGAACCUGCCCAAGAACGGUUCUUACCGCCCCUCCUAUGAAGAGAUGCUGCGAUUCUACAGUUACUACAAGCAGGCCACCAUGGGGCCCUGCCUGGUCCCCCGGCCCGGGUUCUGGGACCCCAUUGGACGAUAUAAGUGGUGAGCUCCCUGCUGGCUGGGCAAACAAGCCUCAGCUGUCAAGCAGCCCUCUCACAGCCCUCUGCCCCCAGGGACGCCUGGAACAGUCUGGGCAAGAUGAGUAGGGAAGAGGCCAUGUCUGCCUACAUCACUGAAAUGAAACUGGUGGCACAGAAGGUGAUCGACACAGUGCCCCUGGGUGAGGUGGCAGAGGACAUGUUUGCUUACUUCGAGCCCCUGUACCAGGUGAUCCCUGACAUGCCGAGGCCCCCAGAGACCUUCCUGAGAAGGGUCACAGGUUGGAAAGAGCAGGUUGUGAAUGGAGAUGUUGGGGCUGUUUCAGAGCCUCCCUGCCUCCCUAAGGAACCGGCACCCCCAAGCCCAGAGUCCCAUUCACCCAGGGACCUGGACUCCGAGGUUUUCUGUGAUUCCCUGGAGCAGCUGGAGCCUGAGCUGGUUUGGACAGAGCAGCGGGCAGCAUCUGGAGAAAAGCGUGAUCCCAGGAACAGCCCUGUGCCCCCCACAGAGAAAGCUGCACAGCCUCGGGAGGUCAUCCAUAUUCUCUGGACUCCCCCGUUUGGAAAUCUCAGAAGACAAUGAGUUCUGCCCUCUUCCCUUCUAGAACUCCUGUUGUGUGUCAGGUCCUGUAUGGACAUUUUCAAAAGUAUCUCCUUUAUUCCUCUGAGCAAGCAGCCCUGUGAGGGAAAUGACAUCUUCUCCUAAUUUUUAGAUGACAAAAUGAUGCCCAGAGAAGUUAAUGACUGGCCAGGCGUGAUGGCUCACGCCUGUAAUCCCAGCA